AGCUCUUCCCAGCCUUUUGCCAAUAAAGCUCAUGAAAUUACAGGUAGCUCCAACCGGACACACCCUCCUAUCACAACCCAUGUGCUUGACACAACUCUUGGACCACCAGCAUCUGGAAUUGAAGUUCACCUGGAGAUGUGGAAGGAUGCAUCCAGUUCCCCAUCAUUCGACAACAAUGAUUUCAAUGGAUGGACAACCUUGGGCUCUUCGAUUACAAACAAUGGUGGACAUAACGGUCAUCUGAUGGACGCUGCGGACAAUGUGGCUCCUAGUUUCUCCUGCAUAAGUUUCAAUAUCUCCAAGUAUGCACUAUCAGGGUUCUUCCCUUAUGUGAGCAUCAUAUUUGAGAUAAAAAGGGCUACGACCGAGCAUUUCCAUGCUCCUUUGUUGUAUUCUCCAUUUUUGAUUACCACUUACCAUGGCAGUUAA
rnacentral:rRNA from 1 species